UCUCUCUCUCUCUCUCUCUCUCACACACACACACACACACACACACACACACACAGAAGUAAAAACAGAAGAAAGAAAAGAAAGUCACAUUCUAAGUAGAUUUUCUAGGUGUAUCACUAUAAAUCUAGUACUGGGAAGAACCUGAUCUGCUUUCAUUUAGUCCAUGUGAAGUUAGAAGCAAGUGAAACCUCUUGUAAUUGCACUAAUAAUUCACAGUCACACUUGAAGUCAACCUUGUCUUUGGUCAUUAGGAUUGUUGGCAAAGAAUUCAUAGGUCUGGACCAGCUUGUACACAGGCUAUCACUUGCCAGAGAGAAUGGGGUAAAGGCUGUUUCUCAACAAGCUCUUGUAAAUAAGAUUCUUCAAGGAAGGAAUAGAAAAAUGGAGAGGGAGGCUAGCUAGAUUGACCUGGGUUUGAAUCCCAAAAGUCAUACAGAUUAGUUAUGCAAACAGCAGUAUGUCUCUUGGUCUAACUGAUCCUCAGUUUUAUCAUCAACAAAUUGGAAAUAAUAAUACCUAUCAGAGGUCCUGGGGCUUAGGGGAAUGGCAGUUGGCCUCAGAGUCUAGAAGAACUGGGUUCAGGGUCAUCUCAUAGCUAAUGGCUUUAGAAAUUCUCCUAUGAAAAACUCCUUGAAAGUAACAACCUUUAAGCAACUCUGUCAGUUAUCUAGAAUAUGAAUUUUCCAACAAAUAUUUAUCUCUACCAGGACCCAUUUUUCCUACUGGGUUUCCCUAACCCUAGCACUUUUCCUUAUGCUGAUAAAAUCCUUGUUAGUCCAAACAAAAACAAAUAGCUCUGAGAGGCCACUUUAUAAGGUGAUCAUUAGGCUCAUAUGACAUAAUGUAGGUAAAAGUGGCCUGUGAAUCACUAAAUAAAGGUCAGUUUUGUUUAUGGGAGACUCAUUGGCAGCAAAUUGUCUGCUUAUUUUCAAGGCCAUAUUGAAAGAGUGGUUUUAUGAACUGUGAUAUGAGAGAAGGCACAUUAGUUCAAUUCCUUGCCAUGAGCAAAUUUGGCCUGAUCAAAGAGGAGUUUCCUGUAACUCAGCAUGGAUGACAUUGACUAGGAGGAAUUCUUCAGGUACCAAUGGCAAGGAGUCUCUAUGACUAAACAAUGACAUGGAGGAAGUGGCAAUGGGAAGGGAGGCAGCCACUGAGCUGUCCUCUCAUUUUACGUGGCUAGAAUGAAGCUGACCAAUCCUAUAGCUGCCAUAUUGGACCACUCAAGAGAUGAGAUUGCCAAGUUGGCAGUUCUCCAUCCAUCUAGCCUUCCCUUGACCCCAGUCCAAGGGUCAUCUGCUGCCUAGAUGUGCUCUAGAUUUCAAACAUGCCUCAAGAUCUAUACCCAGCUUAUCCAGACCUGCCAUGUCUUUUGCAACUCACUGUUGGGUGAUCUUCAGCUUUAGUUCUUCAGAGACUGAUAUUCCAUAGCAUAUGGCCCUAUGUCAGCAGCAGAAAAAAAAAGAGGAUCUGAGGAGGAAAUAAAGAACUCUAGGUGGGUUAAGUAAUGUAAGGAAUAGUAUAAGAGAAUUAAAAGAGUAUCCAUAGUGUGAGUUCCCUCUGGCAUUUAUUACUCAGGUAACUUUGGAGAAAUCACUUACCAUCCUUAGAUGUCAGUUUCUUCAUCCAUCCAAUGAUGGCAUUAGAAUAUAUGGUCUCUAAGGUCCCUCUCAGCUCUCAUUUUGUGAUCUUAUAAGCUAGUUGGGCAGGAUGCCACAAAGUUCCUUUUUAGCUCAUGAUCAAUUAUUCUAGACCUGACAAAAAGGAAACAGAAGUAUAGGAAUAUAUUUAGAGAAAUAUUUCUUCUAAAUAAAAUUAAGUAUGACAGAGUAAAAAGUUUAUGAAUUGUAUUUCUUUAAUAUUAUGCUUUAUCAUGUCACUGAUAUUUGAAAAUAGGUAUUGGUGAGCCUUUAGCAUUAUGGAAGAAAAUGAGAAAGCAGAUAAUGAGAAACUAUGAAAUUGGACAGAUAUGCUGGCCUUGGGAAAGACCUAUUGAUCCGACUUAUAUCUGUGAUGAAUUUAGGAUGGACUGAAGUUAUCUAGACAGUGCACUCUUUAUCCCUUGCCAUUUUGUACACUGUUGCUCAAUUUAGGUCAAUAUUUUCCCAUGGGUUUCUAAUUGUAAUGUGAAGAGUUAAUGAUGAAGAAAAAGUGUCCUAUAAUGGCAAUCUGGAGCAUGGAGAAUGUUAAUAUAACUUCUGCAUUGGACACUGAAGGAUACCUUAACCUUAGAUAAGAAAGGUCAUUAAAAGGCUACAUGGACCCUUAGGAUAGCAUUCUGGAGCACAAGCUUAAUUAGGUAAAUCCAUCAUCAGACUUUAUACUUAGUUAUGAUCUUAAUCAAUCUGGUCAAAUUAAGCUGACUCUAGUAACAUCACACCCUCCAAAGCAAAACACUAUUUGUUCAGAAGUCCUUGGACCAGGCACUUUACAGUGUCUAUUACAGAAACCUCUCAUAUUAAGAACAUAUCCCAUAGAAAUAACAUAAGCAUCCAAUAAUACAUAAAUGUUCUUUGUAUUCCAAACUCUAUUAAUCAUAAGAGCUACAAACCGAAAAGGAAAUAGACCAUGACCUCAAAGAGCUUUAUUCUAACAGUUCAUUCAACAUGCAUAUAUAUGUAUAUAUUGUUGUUUAGUGAAUCAGUUGUAUAUGACUCUUUGUGAUCCUUCUUAGGGUUUUCUUUGUAAAGAAACUAGAGUGUUUUUUUUUUUUAUUUCCUUCUCCAUUUCUUGAGAAAUGAGGAAACCGAGGCAAUCAGGGCUUAGUGACUUGCCCAGGGUUGUACAUAUAGUAAGAAUCUGAGGCUGAGCUUGAACUCAGGUCCUCCUGACUCUAGGGUAGAUCCUCUAUCCACUUCAUCCCCUAGCUGUCAUAUAUGCAUAUAAUAAAGACAUUUAUGUACAUAUGCACUAAAAUCAAAUGAAUUAAAAGUAGAUAAAAGCAACAGUAGUACUUGAGAGACAGAGAGAGAUCCAGUAAAGACUUCAUAGAGAUCAGAACCCUUGAAUUGAAUCAUGAAAGAAGUCAGGGAUUCAAAGAGGCAGAGAGGAACAGAAAAGGACUUUUAGUACUGGUGCCAUUUAUGAUAAAAUCACAAAGACAGAAGAUAGGGUCAGUUAAGUCAAUUAAGGGCUUGCUGGAAAUUUUAAAAAGCAAAUAGACUUUAUUCAUUCUUCAGGGAUUAGGAGGGAGGAGUGACAGGAUUAAAUCUGGAUAUCUGGAAAAUCAAGUCAGCAAUUGUUUUGAGCAGAAUUGAAUUGAGGAAAGACUAAAGUGGGGGGGGGGGCAAAUUCAGAGAUCUUUUUAAUAGUCUAGAGCAGGGAUGAUGAACCUUUUAGAGACAGAAUGCAAGGCCACCUCCCAGACCAAGGGUCAUAACCUACCCUAGGGACCAAGUGCUGCCUCUCAUCCCUCCACCUCACCAUCUGGACUCUCUCCUUAUCCCAGACAGGGGAGGGAGGAAGCACUCCUAUUGGGCUGCUGGGCAGAGGGGUGGGUGAUGAGAGGCACAUGUGGAGAGGGAGAAGAGAGUGGUCUGAUUGCUCCAUUCCACUCCAUCUCUGGUCCUCUUCAGCUAUGUGCCAUGCUGUGAACUAUGAUCCCCUCAAACCUAGCUUCUUUCCAAUCCCAUCAUGGGAAUCACCUUUACCACAGACUCAACAGGCUGCUAUCUGCACUGCACCAUCACCCAGCAUGUGAGUCACCCCCUCUCUAGCACCUUACCUCAGACACAGGAAGGAGGAAGAGCUCCCAUUGCCAUAGUGGGCAGAGGGGCAGGUGAAGUGAGGAAUGUCCUUAGGCUCAUGGAGAGGGGGAGGGGAACAGCUCCACCCAGAGUCCCUCUGUAUUUCUGUCAGGUGACUGCAGGUGUGCCUCCAGAGAGGGCUCUGUGUGCCCUUUUUGAAAUGGAUGACAUAGGUUCACCAUCAUAGGUCUAGACAAAAGGUAAUGAUGACCUGAACUAGGGCUGUCUAAAUGGAAAGAAAGGGGCAUAUGUGAAAAAUAUGUUUUGGCAACUGAUAGUAUACCUGAACUGUUUCAGAGUGAGGAGUUGAGGAUACUGAGUUUGUGAACCUGAGUGAGGAGAAGUGGAACUUCUCAAACUUGAAAGUUUGGGAGCAGAGAUGAUGUGUGCUAUUUUUAUCUAGCAUAUUAGGAAGAAUGUGAGUUUCCUAAGGACAGGGAAAAUACCCACCCAACGUUAUUAAACUCUCCUCUGCCUUAAUUUCCUUUUUAAUAUAAUUAUAUUCAUGGUGUAUCCUCCAUUUCCAUUCACCUUACCCCUAGCUCAAAAGGAAUUUAAGAUCCUUGAAGACAGGAGCUUGGGUGUGCCUAGCAUGUAGCACAUUGCUUUGUAUGUAGUAGGAAUAAAAUAACUGUCAAAUUAAAAUGAUUUGCUGGUGAUCUGUCAUUCACCAUUAGCUUGUAAAGAUAGGACUUUACUUCCAUUCAAGCUAUUAUCAUGCAUGCAUUCAUUUAAUUUAUUUCAAUGUCAAAGGUUAUAGGAAAUAUGAAUCUUUAAACUUUGACGUGAGUAUAUCCUUGGCAGAUUGUGCCCAGCAAAAAUUUAUGAACAGAAAUUUCCACUUAAUAAACCAUUUUUAUUUUUCAACCAUGUAUGAAAAAAGCAUUGAUUAUCUUGUGAAAAUUUUAGUGCAAAGGAAAAUGUAUGAACUCUGAUCCAAAAUGGGAAAUCACCCUAAGGCAAUAGUUUUCAUGUGUAGAUUAUAGUUCUAGUAAAUCCUAGCAAUAACAACACCAAGAAAGAUAGCAAACUUUUUUAAUGCUUUUGGGAACUUAAAACAAUUUACCUAAGUUUUCUCAUUUAAUUUUCACAAUAACCCUUCCUUCCUAUUACAUGUAUGUUUCUUUGAAACUUUGCUGUUUCCUUUCCUGUCCUCUCCCUAAAUCUCCUAAGGAUGAGCUGGGAAUUUUCCCCUAAAUUUCUCUUCUACUCUAGUUCAAAUAGUAUUCCCAUAUAAUUCCUUUACUCGUUUUUUCACUCUUUCUUUUCCCCUCUGAAACUUUUCAAUCCUAUUGGGGAACAUAAGUAAGGGCAUAUAGGUAAGGGUAUCUAAGACCUUUUUCUUUACAUUUCUUUACAGCAGAUGUUUUCUUUACAUCGCAUUCAUUCUGGUUACCUAAGUAGAAUUGUGAUUCAGGGCUUUUAAUGUGCCAGGUAUUAUACUCUGACUAUUUAAGUAGAAAUAAAAAUAAAUACAGUUCUGGCCCUCAAGGGGAUUGGAGUGGGGAGAAAUGGAAUACACAAAAACUGAAAAUUAGGUCAUAGUGGGUGAGAGGAGGGAGAUAGCCUUCAGGGGCAUUAUGAUGAAGUAUGGAGAGUCUGAAGGAGAGCUGGGAGAGGAAUGAAACAUAUCUAACUUGGAUCUCUCCCCAAAACUGACAUCCUAAGAGGAACUCACCUAGAGAAAAAUGGACAUUAAUUGCAGAACAAGGUUCCAGAAUGAGGUCUCAAGUGCUGAGAGAAGUUCCAGUGUGAAAAGGCAGCUAAAAAGCACAUAAACAACUUGGGGACUUUCCAGAAGAAGUCAAUGGGGGAGAUAAAGAUCCUUUCAUCUGUCCAGGAUUCUAGAAUUUCAGAGCUGGAAUGGACUUCAGAGCCUCUUUAGUUCAACUUCUACCAAAAAAGCAUGCUCACUCUCAUUUGAUCAAUAAACCAUCAUCUGGCUUCUCCUUGAGGACCUUUAAAGAUAUUCCAUUUUAAUAGUUUCAAUUAGUAAAAACCUUUUCCAAAAUCA